UUCCUCUACGCCUAGGACACCAGAAUA
rnacentral:snRNA from 1 species